GAUGAACGCUGGCGGCGUGCCUAAUACAUGCAAGUCGAGCGAAUGGAUUAAGAGCUUGCUCUUAUGAAGUUAGCGGCGGACGGGUGAGUAACACGUGGGUAACCUGCCCAUAAGACUGGGAUAACUCCGGGAAACCGGGGCUAAUACCGGAUAACAUUUUGAACCGCAUGGUUCGAAAUUGAAAGGCGGCUUCGGCUGUCACUUAUGGAUGGACCCGCGUCGCAUUAGCUAGUUGGUGAGGUAACGGCUCACCAAGGCAACGAUGCGUAGCCGACCUGAGAGGGUGAUCGGCCACACUGGGACUGAGACACGGCCCAGACUCCUACGGGAGGCAGCAGUAGGGAAUCUUCCGCAAUGGACGAAAGUCUGACGGAGCAACGCCGCGUGAGCGAUGAAGGCCUUCGGGUCGUAAAGCUCUGUUGUUAGGGAAGAACAAGUGCUAGUUAAAUAAGCUGGCACCUUGACGGUACCUAACCAGAAAGCCACGGCUAACUACGUGCCAGCCGCCGCUGUAA
rnacentral:rRNA from 1 species